rnacentral:rRNA from 2 species
GAUUUCUGGUUUAAUGCACCUGGCCCGCGGCCACUAGGCUUGUGAGUGCCGGCGCGCGUUUACCAUCCUUCUAGAAAACGAUUCUGCCAUUCACUUGGUUGGGAUCGCGAUCUAGAUCUUUUACUUUGAAAAAAUUAGAGUGUUUAAAGCAGGCUUUUGCUAUGAAUACAUUAGCAUGGAAUAAUAAUCUAGGACUUCGGUUCUAUUUUGUUGGUUUCUAUAACUGAAGUAAUGAUUGAUAGGGACAGUUGGGGGUGCUAGUAUUGGCCGGCCAGAGGUGAAAUUCUUGGAUUCGGUCAAGACUAACUUAUGCGAAAGCAUU